AUUGAACGCUGGCGGCAUGCCUUACACAUGCAAGUCGAACGGCAGCACGGGAGCAAUCCUGGUGGCGAGUGGCGAACGGGUGAGUAAAGUAUCGGAACGUGCCCAGUCGUGGGGGAUAACGUAGCGAAAGUUACGCUAAUACCGCAUACGAUCUAUGGAUGAAAGCGGGGGAUCGCAAGACCUCGCGCGAUUGGAGCGGCCGAUAUCAGAUUAGGUAGUUGGUGGGGUAAAGGCUCACCAAGCCGACGAUCUGUAGCUGGUCUGAGAGGACGACCAGCCCCACUGGGACUGAGACACGGCCCAGACUCCUACGGGAGGCAGCAGUGGGGAAUUUUGGACAAUGGGCGAAAGCCUGGUCCAGCCAUGCCGCGUGCAGGAUGAAGGCCUUCGGGUUGUAAACUGCUUUUGUACGGAACGAAAAGGUUUGGCCUAAUAAGCUGCGCUCAUGACGGUACCGUAAGAAUAAGCACCGGCUAACUACGUGCCAGCCGCCGCAGUAA
rnacentral:rRNA from 1 species